rnacentral:lncRNA from 1 species
UUUACUCCGUUCCAUCGUCUUUCCCUACUGCGCUUCUUCUCCAAUCGUAAUUUUCUCUGCUCUAUCGUCUUUCCCUGCUAUACUUCUUCUCCAACAAUUCUCGAUUUCUCUCCGGGAUUCUCUUUUGUGAAUAUCAAUAUUUCUGGUGAGUCUUUCUGUAAUAUUGUACUGCCCUUUUUCUGUUUGCUUUGCUUCCUGUUUAGUCGGUUUUUGACUGAGCAUAUAUCUGUAUAGUAGAAAUUGUUUGUGGUUCUGUUGGUUCUUGAAUAGACCACUGAAGGGUCUUUCUUUGGGUUCCUGAAUGUAUUAUGGUCAAAUUUGAUUAUAUCUUGUACAGAUUGAAUUGGUACACUUCUAAUAAAACUCAUAUGAUCACUGAAAUUGCAAAAGAGUGUGGGAUAGAUUUCCAAAGAAAAUCUUUAUUUUAUUUUGCUACAAAAUAGCUGCGUCCGAAGGUAAAACUUUGGGUAUCGCGGCAUCGAAAGGUAAGCACCACAGUAUGAUAAGAUUCUUCUUGAAUGGCUGUGUGUCUCUUUGUUUGUGCCGAGUGAGUACUUUACCGACGCCCACAAGCUGUUUGUUUUUCUGCCUCUGUCAAUAUCAAUGUCGUGAGCUUACUUUUAAGGGCGGCUAUGUGAAACCUUGAACGCAAGAUCAAACUGGAGAAUUUACAUAAUCAUCGUGAACUAACAAAAAAAUAUCAUCUUUAAUAUUAGUCAUCAUUAAAUAAAUUGAGAAAACUUGACACGAUCAAACUAGCUUCUGCCCUUUGCUUCAUUAGGUGUGUGUAUAAUAUCCUCUAAGAACUUUAUUGAUGUAUCUAAAAAAAUUGUUCACAUGGUAUUUAUUGCUAUAGUAGCAAGAACCUCUUGGCCAAGUGAUAAAGUUAAAAUUUAAACCAAAAGCAAACAAUGGAAAUACCAAUCAGACACCAGCCUACGUAGAAACUUUCCUCAGACAUAGCAAUGAAGGCCCAUAUGAGUAUAUUGAUCUAAAAUCUAAGUUGAAAUGCAUUUGUCAAAGGACAUACAUUGCCUCUUCAAUACAACGCAUAUUCCAUUGUCUUAGAUUCAAUAUGAAGUUACUGAGUUAGUGAAUUGUGUAACAGAACAUUAUCCUUUAUUCUCCGGUAGGAAAUAAGUAAUCAUAUCUCCCUGUUGUGUCUAUCAUGUUGCAAUAUUUGUAAUAUCUUUUCUCUACUUAGUUACAGAGUAAGUAUGCCAACAUAGAAAAAAUUCUGUAUAUUCCAAAUAGGCUAGAAUUUCCUUGAUAUGAUAAUCAUUUUUUUAAAAAGAAAAACAAAUACCUUGCAAAUUUUCAGCUUUUCGAAAACUAAUUGGCAAAAUAAUAUGAAAUAGAAUUUAAAUGGGAAAGAUUAGUGGUUUCUGGAGACUACUGAAUACGAAUUAAGGAUCAUGAAGUUUUAUAACAAUAAAAUGAUUCAAAGUAAGUCUUGAUUUUGUUUUCUUAACCUUGACUAUCAAUGGUUGGAGGUAGUAUGAUAACAUUGUCCUGGGUUUCUUCUGAAAGAUUAGUUACCUAGCUGGAGGUAGUUUUAUUUAAAUUGUUGAAAUUGCAAAUGUCGACAGACAAUAAAACCAAAGCGUCAACUAACUGCCCACCAAAAAAGAAGUGCCAGUACUCAGCAGAAAUAAUGUCUAAAAUCAAGCUUAGGAGACGUGACCUGUAUAAACAGUUACCAGUUGAUAAAAAAGAGUCGCUUCUAUCACAGCGACGAUUAAAAGAGCUUGAAUAAAAAAAAAACAGCACGUACUGAUUGAUUACACUGAAGAAGAGUCAUUUUUCCAAGCUGGGGCUAACUUGCGUAAGCAAAGAACUCUCACGAUAAACGAACCAUCUUCUGUUGGUAACAAAGGUACGAAAUGAAAAGAAGGUAUAGUUCUUACAUGAAAAUAUGUGUUGCUUUGAUGGUAGUGUUUACAUUAAAUUUUCUAAUGGUAAACAUGUUUUGCUUCCUAUAUUAGUUGAUAUAUCUGCAUUUGACGGGGCAUCAAUCGAUUCUAACAA